GUCUUUCAGCAGUAUUUAAACAUCAAGUCCGAGUUCUCUCCUCCUCUCUCUUCAAGUCCUACAGCUUGUGCACUACUUAGCUUUCACUGAAACUCUAAUAUUUGCUGGAAAAUGGCAACAGCUGGAAAGGUAGGUGUGUGUGCGUGCGUGCGUGUGUGUGUGUGUGUGUGUGUGUGUGUGUGUGUGUGUGUGUGUGUGUGUGUGUGUGUGUGUGUGUGUGUGUGUGUGUGUGUGUAUUGGAAAGUUUUGCACGCCCAUGAUAGUUCAUUUUACUCUCAAGCUCUCAACAUUGAAAAUAAGAUAACUAUGUCUUCCUCUUUUCUUUCUUUCUCUUCUUACUCUGUCAAAUACUGAAAGUCUGAUUCUGAUUAGACACAAAGCUUGACAUUCCAGACAGUGUUGUGCAACUGUGGCUAUUGGCAUAGAUGAGGGAAUUUAAGGCCAAAAACAAUCAUGGAGGAAGACAAGGAGUGCUUCCACAGUCAGAGACAAAAAAAAAAAAAGCCAUAAAAGCAGACUGGUUCAUCUAAAUCAGUAACAAUGACAGAUUCACUCUGUGGUUUACUCAUAUGAAAUUGAAAUACUGUUUAUGUAUUUUUUAAAUGUUGUCUGCUUUUGAAAAACCACCGUAUCAGAUAAUGAGAAUCCACUGAACCCUGCUGUUACAUAAUGAAAUGUGUUUGGUGUUUACAGUGAUGAUAGUUUGCAUGGAUGCAUUUAAAUAAAUCUGAUGCCUCCGGACCAGUUUUUAUUGACAUCCUUGCACAAGGAGAAUGGCUCAUAUUUUAUUGCUUAUUGAUGGUGCCAAAAAAAUGCACCCAGGCCGUCUUCACUAGUUUGGCUCAACUUUGGUCGGGUGCUUUGCUGUAUUUCUCUGCUUCUCUCUAUUUCCUCAACUGUUCUUUCUUUUCUUCUUUUUCUGUCUUUUUCUUCCAGUCUGUUUCCCCUACUAAUGUUUGUACAGUCUUUUCUGCCAUGCUAAUAACCCCCCCCCCCCCCCCCCCCUUAAAUGAUGCAUCCACACUUACACACUAACAAAAAUGCAUUUCUAAAAUUGAUCGAAGUACAAUCUAUAAUUGUUCACAACAGUGACAACUAGUGGUGAUGUAAAACUUAGUAAAGUCACUGUCAUUUAGGUCAUCAAGUGUAAGGCAGCAGUCGCCUGGGAACCCAACAAGCCUCUGGUGAUAGAGGAGAUUGAGGUCGCCCCGCCUGAGGCAAAUGAGAUCCGCAUCAAGGUGAGAGAUAUCUACUUUUAAGGUUUUCACAUGCAUUUACACCUCCUUAAACUUUUGAGUUGAGUUAGUAAGUUAGCUGUAGAAGUUGUAGAAGUAGUAAGUAGUAAUAACUUCUGAUUAAUGUCUUCUGGUCAUGCAGUGGAAGGGGUAGAGACCCUCUGAGGCUUCACAGGGAAUUUUCUGAGCUCAUUGAAUAAACUGAAAAUUGAAGCAAACAAGUAGCUGAUUUCUUCAUCUAGAGGCUAAAGGGUGUAAGAAACUCAAGUGUUUUGACUGAAGACCUCGUGUCAUUUUUCACAGAACAGUGAAAAAGUUAGAGUGAAAAGAGUUUUUAAAAACAAAAACUGAUCAUAGCUUUGAAAGAAAUGCUUGGUUUCUACUUUACAUGUAAGUGAGCUAUCAACUUACUUGGUAAUAUUUGCAUCUAAGAGUACAUAAACAUAUAAACAGUUGGUUCUUAUAAUUCUCAGUUUUUCCAACCCCUAUUUGCACUUAACCAGUGUAUUUUUCUUUAUGUGGUCAUUGUUCUGGUCCAGGUUGUGGCAACAGCAGUGUGCCACAGCGAUCUGUAUCACAUGUUUGAGAGUAUGCAUAAGGAUGGCUUUCCUGUAGUGCUUGGUCAUGAGGGAGCCGGCAUUGUAGAGAGCACUGGGCCUGGAGUCACAGAAUUCCAAGUUGGUCAGUCAAUACUCAGCUGUCUGGUUUAUCCACUUAAUUUUUUUUUAAAUUUAAAACUGAAAUACAGUAACAGUCACAUUGCUUUUUAAUUCCAGGGGACACUGUGAUUCCUCUGUUCCUCUCCCAGUGCAGGGAGUGUCGCUUCUGUAAGAGCCCAAAGGCCAACCAGUGUGAGAAAGGAUGGUAAGCUCAUGUUUUUUUCAACUCUUAAAUUUAUUGAUCUGUUGUAUUUUAGUGAUUUUUUGAAGCCUUUUUAAGCUAACUUAACAUCUUAUUUACGUACAACGCUACUACGCUACAUCUUAUUUACUUUUUGCUCUUUACAAAGUGUUAUUUCAAUCGGUAAACUGGUGAAACAAUGCCAUAAUUUAGUCAGUGAGUGUGUGUUGCUUUUAAUGUUUUUAGGGUUGCUGAUCGUUACGAUGUGAUGGCACCAGCAGAGUCAAGGUUUACCUGUAAGGGUAAGAAACUGCUGCAGUUUGUGGGCACUAGUACCUUCUCUGAGUACACGGUGGUAAACCAGAUAGCUGUGGCAAAGAUUGAUCCAGCUGCUCCUCUGGACAAAGUGUGUCUCCUUGGCUGUGGGAUCUGCACUGGUUUUGGAGCAGCAGUUAAUACUGCCAAGGUCAGUAUGUUUGAAUGUAUGCUAUAGUCUUACAUGUUUUCUUGAUGUACUAUACCUUUUGUGAUGAAUACCUACCAUACCUGACUGUUAAGAGUAAAGCAUUCCAAUCAAACAACAGUGAACUCCUAAACAAGUAUAUCAAGUUAAGACAUCUAAAUAAAAGAUCUUUCAUAAUCCCUAAAUGGAAAUUCAUUGGUCUAGUAUCUCUUUUUUUUUUUUCUCUGGAAGGACCACCAGAGGCUGUAUAUAGAAUGGACACCAUCUGCCUACUCGCUGGGUGUAGCCUUCAUGAGAACAGCACCCUCUGAUGAUGGGCUGCAGUAAAAGCCAUAAAUCCCGUAGUCAUCCCUAUGAAGCUGUGGACAAACCUCGAAUUUUGCGAUGUUGACAUGUAAUUACUGUAAGAAUGGUUUGUGCUCAAGUCCUCUUUUUCUGUGCAGCUCUGUUUCUAAAAGUUAUUAGGAGGUUCAUGUUUUCUAUGAUUGACACUUGAUACAGCCUAUGGGUGUACGAAGAUUGCAAAUCUCAUCCAGGGGAUACGCUGUUUGAGCCGAUCGUCAUCACGGCGACUCUUCCACUGAAUGCGUACAAUGCUACUGUGCCAUCGGUGGUUCCAGGUAGAGGAGAAAAUCCUGGAAAUACUGGGGGGGGGGGGGGAGGGGGGAUUGCUGGAGAACGGAUUUAUGACCUAUACUGCAGCCCAAGAGGGUGCUAUUCUUGCAGAGGCUUUACCCAGCUAGGAGUCAUAUGACGUCCAUUCUAUGCACAGUUUGUGGGCUUCACCAAUAUCUCCAGCUAAUCACUUUUGUUGGACAGAGAGUUGACAUUGUUGUCAUCCAGAUUUGCUCGAUCUCAAUGAAAGAAGCUCUCUUGAGUAAACUCUUCUCAGAAGAAAUAUCCAUCAGCAGCAGCAAAAAUUAUAAAAUAAUAAUGAUUUAAAAAAAAAACAUAAAAAAUAUUAAAAAACAAAAAAAUAUAUUGAAUUUCCUUUUGGAGAACAAUAAAGUUCUUGGGCUCUAUUUCCGUGCACGCCGGUGAGGCGGCGGAGGGCGGUGAGCCCCGCGCAGUUGUAUUUUCGUCUGGCGGAGCCCGGCGUAAGGCCAGUUUGGUAUUUUCGUGGACUGAGCCGCACGGAGGCGAGCCGAGAUCCGCCAAACUGGGCGUGGUGGCGUGGCUGGGGGAGGUGUCGACAGAAUCAGCAGGCGCAGUGACAUUUUCGUGCUCGCCACCAGCGUGUAAAGUGCGCUGAAAGCUCGCCGAUUCAAACCUGGUCAGCUUUCAGCGCAUGGCGGAACGCAGCUGGUCUAGUAGUAUUUUGGUAGACCGGCGGCGUAUCGACAUACGUCACUGAUGCCUCACCGGCAGUUUCCACAGUUUCAGGCACAUUUCAGUGCAAUAAAUAAUCAACAACUAUUAAUCUGAGUCAGCACAUACAUUUAGAUCUAUAUAGAUAUAUUCUGAUCUAUAUCUGAUCUGAUGAGCGCGUUUGGCACGCGUUUGGACACACAACCUGACCGAAUCAACACAGCUGAAACCACAUCAAAUUAAAUUAAAUAUCUAGUAAAUAAACACACAUGAUGAAGUUAACUCGGUUAACUUUUCUUUCUUCCUCUUCCUCUCAUUUCUCGCACAGCUCGACCUGGACACGUCUCCGUGUCCUCUGUCCGUCUUGCUGCUGCGGCGGCUGAACAGAUGAUUUGUUUCAGUGCUCAGAUGCGUUAUGUACUUUAAGCCUAUAUACGGAUAUUAUAAUAUUCAGUUUUGUGAGCCAAAUUUAUUUUAUAUGCCAACAUCUAUGAAAGAAAGAGCCAGGCCACGGAGCGCGAUGCGUCAUUUACGCACAGAUGGUUCCAAUUUUAAUGCCAUUUUUGGAGUUUAUGUUGUGAUCUGUGCGCUAAACCCACCUUGUCACGUGAGGUUUGAAUAUAUGCAACUUUAUGUGAGUGUCUUUAUUUGUGGAAAAGGGUGUUUGUCUUACCACUGGGUCCAACUUUACACACACCAAAUCCAUCUGUGCUCAUAUGAGCGAGUGUGAAAGACGCCCAAUGCGACAGUGACACUUGUUGAGGAGCUGCCCUCUGUCGCCAUCUUGUGGCAUUACUGUCUUAAGACAUCUCUUGAUCUCUUUGACUACUUCAUGAAAAUAGUAAUACGCCUCGCCUGUGGCGGAUUUAAAGGCAAGGAGAGGAGCUUAUGUGAUUGGUGAAAACAGGUCUCGGCUGUGUUAAACCCACUACACGCCCUCUCUCCUCCCUGUCUACGACUUAUGGAUCUGGGAGGAGCUGAGUUAGGGAGGGGGGAUACUUACGCCGGGCUGCGCGGCUCACCAAAAUACCAAAAUGUGCUUGGGAACGCCUUGUCAGCGCGGCGGAUCUGACUGUCGCUGCGCUUGCGGCACGUCUCCGGCGAGGCACGAAAAUAGAGCCCCUUAUCUCAUCUUAUCUUAUCAAAAAUUGCAGAAAAUUCUGAGAGGCCAGACUUUGCUGCUCACUGGUUGAGCACAGAUUCUGGUAUAUGUAAUAAGUAAUGUAAGACCAACAUUGUACUACAGGUGACACCAAAGUAUGGAUGAAGAUCUGAAUUCCAUAAUUUUUUCAACAAUAAAAAGUCUUACCUUAAAUAUUAUGUUCAAAUAACAUGUUUUUUUGUUUUUUUUAGGUUGAACCGGGCUCCACAUGUGCUGUGUUUGGACUGGGAGCUGUGGGUUUGGCUGCUGUCAUGGGCUGCCAUACUGCAGGAGCCAAGAGAAUUAUUGCUGUUGACAUCAAUCCAGAUAAGUUUGAGAAGGCCAAGGUGUUUGGAGCGACAGAUUUUGUGAAUCCAAAGGAUCACAAUAAACCCAUCAGCCAAGUCUUGUCUGAGAUGACCAAUGGAGGAGUGGACUUCUCCCUGGAAUGUGUCGGGAAUGUAGGAGUCAUGGUAAGGAGACAUUUGCCCUGAACUGAUUAAGGAGGAGGAAGGCUGAUUAUGUUAACAGUCUUGGCUGAAGAAUACAGUUUUAUAACUACAAAAGCAAACAUUUUCUCAAGUGCACUUGUAAUUUGAACUAUGUGGUUGUGAGCCCACUGACUUCAUGCUGUUUCAUCCCCCAGCGCAGUGCUUUGGAAUCUUGUGUAAAGGGUUGGGGUGUCAGUGUGAUGGUUGGCUGGACAGACAUGUACGAUUUCGCUGCACGACCAAUCCAGCUGAUAGCUGGACGCACCUGGAAGGGCUCCUUUUUUGGAGGUAAGAUUCAGUCAGUUAUACGAAAAAACCUUUUAAUAUGAACAUUUCUUUAAUUGUCUUAUGUUGCUUUUUUGUUAUCUGAACUAUUUGAAAUUUAAAGAGUGAGUUUCUUAACCCUAUGUGAGGAUUUUUAACUUGCCAUAUAUCAGACAGAAGUCAAUACAGAUGGAAAAACCCAGGAAAGUUAUUGUAUUUUAAAUUUUACCUCAUAUACAAAAAUAGCCAAUAUCUUAAAUAUAUGAUGUGUGGGGGUUUAGAUUAAGUGACAUACCAAUAUGUUAGGUCUAAAACCUGCCCAAAUGACUGAAAACUCUUAAAGAAGAGAAAGACAAUGGUUUAGAUUUUACUCGAGGAGAAUGGACAGAGAUAGUUUCAGUUACAAUCUCAAAACCAUUCUGAAGGUAUUUCUGUCCCGUCUCUUUUAUUUAGGGUUGUCCCUGGUUACACAAUGUUACUAAAGGAUGGGGGAAAACUAUGUGCAGCAACGUAAGCACUCUCAGAAAACAUAAUAAUGAACAACAGAAAAUAUGUGAGGGUCAAGGCAACAUUGUUGACAUUAAACAAGCUCCUUCUGAUAGGAGCGGAUCCUCCUUAUUACUUCGCACGAUUCACAGUGGAGGAUACAUCACACACACACACACACACCUGCUGAUAGGAGAAACAAGGUCACAGAGAAGUUAAGAAACAUUCAUGUGCUGUGUAAUAAAGCUAUUGGAGAGAGAAGUUAGAAAACACUCUUAUAUGAUGUGCAACAAGUGGUUAAAACAGUUCAUACUUGUAGCAAACUCUUACAUAAGAAUUUGAGUAAAAUGAUAACUUCUAUAUACAUUUAUACACAUUAUUCUGACACAAUAGCUCCUGACAAUAGCUUUAACAGAUGUAAUGCUGCAUUCCAGUUAUACUGGGAAGUUGGAUUUUCUGAGUUCCCAGUCUGACAUUCAUCGGAUUUUGGACUUACGAAAGUUGGGUGAUCCUCACCAACUCCCACGUGUCAACAUCAGAGUCCAAGUUUUUGUGUUUAGAAAUUAAAUAUGUGGCGGAUGUAAUACUGUCCAACAUUUAACUGUGGACAUUUUACUAAGGUGGUUGUAUUUGUAAAAUACCGUUAACAGCUAACAAUGGCUACUGUUACAACAGUAGACAACAGUCUUGUUUUUUUCAGACUAGUUUACCAGAACACGGUCAACUCGUUCUGGUACAACUCGGGUGUGACUUCAUUCCCAACUCCAACAUCGGACUUCCGAGGAAUACACUAUAGGUCAUUGACAUUAUCAAUCUAGACCCUGCGCUUAAACCAGGUGGUAGCUGCAAAGCUUGGUCUCUCUGAUUGUUCUGCAAUAUUUGCUCUUUUUUUCAUAUUUUUGUUGUGUUUUGUCGGCUGCUGAUGGAUAUUUCUGUUGCAAUUUUACUCAAGAGAAGAGCUUCUUUUAUUGACUCAGCACAAAUCUGGACAACAACAUCCAAUUCCAGCAGACAUCUGGAGUUUUUUUGUGGUUGAUGUGCUGGUGCACAGGUAAAGGAAAUGUUGAAGGCUAGUAAAUGAAAACACAAGCCCUUUCUUUUGUCUGUGUGUCAGGAUUCAAGAGUAAGGAUGGUGUACCUGAAAUGGUUAAAGCCUACCUGAACAAGAAGGUGAAACUGGAUGAGUUCAUCACUCACAACAUGACCUUGGCUCAGGUCAAUGAUGCAAUUGAACUGAUGAAGCAUGGCAAAUGGUAUGUAUUUUUUUUAUUUUUUAACUAUUUUCAAUUGUUUAAGACUUUCAAACCAGAUACACUGAUAAAGAACCCUCUUAUUUCUGUUUUUGUUUCCACAGCAUUCGGACUGUCCUGAGUGUUUCCAAACAAUAAAAACAUUCACUUCAACAGUGACAAAAUCAUUUCAUGACCACUGGUGACAUCUCUCCAAUUAUAAUUUUGGGAAAAUUCCUAACCUUAAAUUCUCAACAUUCCAAUAAAUAAUUGAGAGCAUGUGGUAUUUAAAAUCACCUAUUGGUAUUGUGAGAUUAUUUGAGCAUGUAGGGUAAUGGCUUCCUUAUUUGUGUUCUGUUUCUGUUGUAAUGAUAUAGUUAGAUCAACUUGACUUGUAGCGAUCAUUUGAAAACCCCACUGAAAAUGAACUUUUUAUGACAUCGCGACAGCAGAAGUAUGUGCAAUUUAAUUAAAUUGUCCUGUGUACUUUCUUAAAAAAUAAAUAAAUAAAGAGGACAUCUUUUUUACACA